UCAAUAAAGCACAUAGAGGAUGCCUUGGUAGAUUCAGCUGAUGAAGGACGUAGUAGGCUGCGAUAAGCGCCGGGGAGCCGCCAACAGGCUUUGAUCCGACGAUUUCCGAAUGGGGAAACCCGCUAUGGUAAACCCAUAGCAUCGGCUCAGAUUUGGAGGUUAUGUAGCAUGGAAUUCAUUCUUGUGGAGCCGGGAGAAGGCGGACAAUCUUUCGCUUAUCUCUUUUCUGCCCCUAAUAUCGAUUCGGCGAAGGAUUGUCUGAAGGACAUUCCGAUUGCAAUGAGUGUCCGCUUGGGCGGAUACCCUAUAGAAGUCAAACUCUAUCGGAUCGCCGAAGAGGUUGGCUCAUUGUCCGAAAUGCGAGUGGCUACCGCCAUCCGCAGGAAGGUCAAACCAAGAUGGAAUAGCCGAACCGCCACCACAUAGAACUGGAAACCGGGGCUUGUCCGCAAGCCCCUCCAAAUCUGAGCCGAAAGGCACCCGGGGAACUGAAACAUCUUAGUACCCGGAGGAAAAGAAAGUAGUAACGAUUCCCCCAGUAGCGGCGAGCGAAAAGGGACCAGCCCAAACUCCAGCACCGAAUCUUGGGCGUAAGCGGUAAACAGGCGAUUCUAUAAAAUAACGAAUCUAGCCUCUUAAAAUUUGUUUAUGUUUGCGUCCGGGAUUUGGUGUUGGAGGGUUAUAGGGCAGUAUUAGGGAAUACCCGAGUUGAAGUUUGUGUUAGCAGAAGGAUCUUGGAAAAGACCACCGUAGAGGGUGAAAGUCCCGUACGCGAAAACUCAAACCAAAUUUGAAUACUGUUCCUGAGUACGACUGGACACGUGUAAUCCAGUCGGAAGGUCGGGUGAUCGUGCCCGAAGGCUAAAUACUGAAUCUAACCGAUAGUGAACAAGUACCGUGAGGGAAAGGUGAAAAGUACCCAGAGUAUGGGAGUGAAAUAGUACCUGAAACUAUGUGCUGAUAAGGAGUCGGAGCGUGCUUUGCACGAAGACGAGAUAAUUUUUGAAAUGAAGGAGGGAGCGGCCUAACCGCUCCAGCGCACCCCGUGGUGCGUACUGUGGGAACGACACUGGCCUGGUCUGUGGAUAAGGCACUGUCGUUCUGUCUGUGGGCUGGAGAAAUCCAGCCGUCUGUGGUCUCGCUGCAGCGAGAUGUAUCCUGGAGGCCAGCCACCCAAUCGGGUAGGCUGGCCCAUUCCUCCUUCAUUUCAAAUCAUGAGUUAUAGUUUUCGUGCAAAGCAUGUGACGGCGUGCCUUUUGAAGAAUGAGCCAACGAGUUAAUCUAGUUCCCAAGUGUAAGGAUUUAUGAUCUGAACGCGAAGCGAAAGCGAGUGUUAAUAGCGCGAUUUAGGGGAUUGGAUUAGACCCGAAACCGGGUGAUCUUGCCAUGAGCAGGCUGAACUCUGGAGAAAUCCAGUAGGGAGGGCCGAACCCACCGUUGUAGCAAAAACGGGGGAUGACUUGUGGUAAGCGCUAAAAUAGCAAUCGAACCCGGAGAUAGCUGGUUCUCGCCGAAAUAUAUAUAGGUAUAGCGCGCAAUUGCAUGGUGUGGGGUAGAGCACUGACUGGCUCCCGGGGACGCAAGUUCUCGGCGCCAAACAAACUCCGAAUACGCACCGUUAGGAUUGCGCAGUCAGACUGUGCGGGCUAAGCUGCAUGGUCAAAAGGGGAAUAGCCCAGACCUAAAUCUAAGGUCCCUAAAUUCUGGUUAAGUGGAAAACGAAGUGAAGAAGCGUAGACAACUUGGAUGUUGGCUUAGAAGCAGCCAUCAUUUAAAGAAAGCGUAACAGCUCACAAGUCGACCCUACGUUGUUCUACAACGCCUUUGCGAAAGCGAGGGUUGCGUAGGCAACCUCUAGGCUUCUUCGCGCGGAAAAUUCAACGGGGCUCAAACCAGGUACCGAAGAUUAGGAUGGUUGUACUUUGCACGAAGAUUAUAUGCGUGACUAGCCGGCAACAUUGCCGCUCACUAGUCGCGAGUACGCUAAACGUUUGCAACAAUAUUGCCGGCCGUUUAGUGAGCAAUCUUCGAUUCAGAUUUGGAGGGUGAUAUGUGGGUCGUUUUAAGCGAACGGCGGUUGAUUCCAGAGGAGAUUCUGGAAAAUAUUGAACGGUUAGCCAAACAGCGUCAGAUUCUCAUUUGCUGGAUCCGCGAUGAUGCCGAGAAUUCGGCCAUCGUAGCGCUGGCGACUGACUGUCAGGAGCGUAAUGGCCAGCGAUUUGUUCAAUAUAUCGUCUUCGAGGGAGACUCGAUCGGCAUACGAUCAAGAUGUCUCUCCGUGACCGAUCUAAAAACAUAGUGGUGAGCACGGGUUCGCCACUCCAAAUCUGAAUCGAAGAAACGAAUAUGUAGUUUUCGUGCAAAGUACAGCCGUGGUAGGCGAGCGUUCGUAUCGGGGUGAAGCAGGAGCGUAAGCGACUGUGGACUGAUACGAAGUGCGAAUGUUGGCAUGAGUAACGAAAUGGAAGUGAGAACCUUCCACGCCGCAAAUCCAAGGUUUCCACAGCAACGAC
rnacentral:rRNA from 1 species